rnacentral:rRNA from 1 species
AUGAAGAAGCUUGCUUCUUCUGAUUUUAGCGGCGGACGGGUGAGUAACACGUGGGCAACCUACCUUGUAGAUUGGGAUAACUCCGGGAAACCGGGGCUAAUACCGAAUAAACCAUUUUGCUUCAUGGCAAGAUGUUGAAAGGCGGCGAUCUCGCUGUCACUACUAGAUGGGCCCGCGGCGUAUUAGCUAGUUGGUAGGGUAAUGGCCUACCAAGGCGACGAUACGUAGCCGACCUGAGAGGGUGAUCGGCCACACUGGGACUGAGACACGGCCCAGACUCCUACGGGAGGCAGCAGUAGGGAAUCUUCCACAAUGGACGAAAGUCUGAUGGAGCAACGCCGCGUGAGUGAAGAAGGUUUUCGGAUCGUAAAACUCUGUUGUAAGGGAAGAACACGUACGAGAGUAACUGCUCGUACCUUGACGGUACCUUAUUAGAAAGCCACGGCUAACUACGUGCCAGCAGCCGCGGUAAUACGUAGGUGGCAAAGCGUUGUCCGGAAUUAUUGGGCGUAAAGCGCGCGCAGGCGGUCUUUAAGUCUGAUGUGAAAGCCCACGGCUCACCCGUGGAGGGUCAUUGGAAACUGGAGAACUUGAGUACAGAAGAAGAAAGCGGAAUUCCACGUGUAGCGGUGAAAUGCGUAGAGAUGUGGAGGAACACCAGUGGC